UACGUAGGGGGCAAGCGUUGUCCGGAUUUAUUGGGCGUAAAGAGCGUGUAGGCGGCCAGACAGGUCCGUUGUGAAAACUCGAGGCUCAACCUCGAGAUGUCGAUGGAAACCGUCUGGCUAGAGUCCGGAAGAGGAGUGUGGAAUUCCUGGUGUAGCGGUGAAAUGCGCAGAUAUCGGGAGGAACACCAAUGGCGAAGGCAGCUCGCUGGGACGGUACUGACGCUGAGACGCGAAAGCGUGGGGAGCGAACAGG
rnacentral:rRNA from 1 species